rnacentral:rRNA from 1 species
AUGUUAAUUAGAUAUGACAAUGAAACAAACAAGUAUUUACCGCUAGGCACAUAUCUUCCAAACAUCCAUGUUUUCACCAACAACAGCCCGUCCUAUACUAUUUUUUAUUUAAAUACCAUAUCCUGCAGCAAGCAGAUGCAUAUAGUCAAGCAUAAUAAGAUCUUUAUAUUUAUGAACCGAAGCAUCAUACAGGCCAUAAAAAUAAAUAGAAACCGUGAUGCCACUGGACUUCCUUGUAGUAUUUGUAUUCCUUCUAACUGCAAAAAACAAAAGGAUAAUUUCAAAGGUUUAUGUUCCAGUUUUCUUACUUGGACACCCCAAAGUGGCUAUGAUCUUGCGGUAAAUUUCUAA